rnacentral:misc_RNA from 1 species
AGCAGCCGCGGUAAUUCCAGCUCCAAUAGCGUAUAUUAAAGUUGUUGUGGUUAAAAAGCUCGUAGUUGAACCUUGGGCCUGGCUGGCCGGUCCGCCUCACCGCGUGUACUGGUCCGGCCGGGCCUUUCCCUCUGUGGAACCCCAUGCCCUUCACUGGGUGUGGCGGGGAAACAGGACUUUUACUUUGAAAAAAUUUAGAGUGCUCCAGGCAGGCCUAUGCUCGAAUACAUUAGCAUGGAAUAAUAGAAUAGGACGUGUGGUUCUAUUUUGUUGGUUUCUAGGACCGCCGUAAUGAUUAAUAGGGACAGUCGGGGGCAUCAGUAUUCAAUUGUCAGAGGUGAAAUUCUUGGAUUUAUUGAAGACUAACUACUGCGAAAGCAUUUGCCAAGGAUGUUUUCAUUAAUCAGGAACGAAAGUUAGGGGAUCGAAGACGAUCAGAUACCGUCGUAGUCUUAGCCAUAAACUAUGCCGACUAGGGAUCGGACGAUGUUAUUUAUUGACUCGUUCGGCACCUUACGGG